GCACUGGGGGGUACUGGGGGGUACGGGGGGUACGGGAGGUACUGGGGGGUACUGGGGGGCACUGGGGGGUACUGGGGGAGCACUGGGAGGCACUGGGGGGGUACUGGUGGGCACUGGGAGGCACUGGGGGGGCACUGGGUGGUACUGGGAUAUAGGGGGAGGUACUGGGAGUCACUGGGAGGUACUGGGGGGUACUGGGGGCCACUGGGAGGCACUGGGGGGUACUGGGGGGCACUGGGCGGCACUGGGGUACAUUGGGGGGCACUGGGAGAUACUGGGAGUCACUGGGAAGUACUGGGAGGUACUGGGGGGCACUGGGAGGCACUGGG
ensembl:lncRNA